rnacentral:rRNA from 1 species
UUUGGGAGCUUGCUCCUGAUGAGAGUGGCGCACGGGUGCGUAACACGUAUGUAACCUACCUUAAUCUGGGGGAUAGCCUCUCGAAAGAGAGAUUAACACCGCAUAACAUCGCCGUAUAGCAUUUUACAGCGAUCAAAUAUUUAUAGGAUUAAGAUGGGCAUGCGGAACAUUAGCUAGUUGGUAAGGUAAUGGCUUACCAAGGCUACGAUGUUUAGGGGAUCUGAGAGGAUGACCCCCCACACUGGUACUGAGACACGGACCAGACUCCUACGGGAGGCAGCAGUAAGGAAUAUUGGUCAAUGGGCGCAAGCCUGAACCAGCCAUGCCGCGUGCAGGAAGACGGCCCUACGGGUUGUAAACUGCUUUUAUACCGGAAUAAACCUUGAUACGUGUAUCGAGCUGAAUGUACGGUAAGAAUAAGGAUCGGCUAACUCCGUGCCAGCAGCCGCGGUAAUACGGAGGAUCCAAGCGUUAUCCGGAUUUAUUGGGUUUAAAGGGUGCGUAGGCGGCCUGUUAAGUCAGGGGUGAAAGACGGUAGCUUAACUAUCGCAGUGCCUUUGAUACUGACGGGCUUGAAUACACUUGAGGUAGGCGGAAUGUGACAAGUAGCGGUGAAAUGCAUAGAUAUGUCACAGAACACCAAUUGCGAAGGCAGCUUACUAAAGUGUGAUUGACGCUGAGGCACGAAAGCGUGGGGAUCAAACAGGAUUAGAUACCCUGGUAGUCCACGCCCUAAACGAUGAAUACUCGAUGUUGGCGAUAUACGGUCAGCGUCUAAGCGAAAGCGUUAAGUAUUCCACCUGGGGAGUACGCCCGCAAGGGUGAAACUCAAAGGAAUUGACGGGGGCCCGCACAAGCGGAGGAGCAUGUGGUUUAAUUCGAUGAUACGCGAGGAACCUUACCCGGGCUUGAAAGUUAGUGAAUGAGACAGAGACGUCUCAGUCCUUCGGGACACGAAACUAGGUGCUGCAUGGCUGUCGUCAGCUCGUGCCGUGAGGUGUUGGGUUAAGUCCCGCAACGAGCGCAACCCCUAUGUUUAGUUGCCAGCACGUUAAGGUGGGGACUCUAAACAGACUGCCUAUGCAAAU